rnacentral:misc_RNA from 1 species
AACGCAGGCCGCACCUUGCAAUAUCACUCUGUGUUACUGCAGGGUAUCUACGUAUGAGUGUCAGCCCAAUAUCAUUUUGGUUUAGGAUAUGAAUAUUUGAAAUUUUUUUCGAAUAUAUUAACUCCUAAAUACAUAUAUAUAAUACUUUAUAUUUAUGUCUGGCCUCAUAUGUGGAAGGUUACCCGCUGGAUUUAA